rnacentral:rRNA from 1 species
AUUGAACGCUGGCGGCAGGCCUAACACAUGCAAGUCGAGCGAGCGGCGGACGGGUGAGUAAUGUGUGGGAAACUGCCUGAUGGAGGGGGAUAACUACUGGAAACGGUAGCUAAUACCGCAUACCAUCGGAUGUGCCCAGAUGGGAUUAGCUAGUUGGUGGGGUAACGGCUCACCUAGGCGACGAUCCCUAGCUGGGUUGAGAGGAUGACCAGCAACACGGGAACGGAGACACGGUCCAGACUCCUACGGGAGGCAGCAGGGGGGAAUAUUGCACAAUGGGCGCAAGCCUGAUGCAGCCAUGCCGCGUGUAUGAAGAAGGCCUUCGGGUUGUAAAGUACUUUCAGCGGGGAGGCGUUACCCGCAGAAGAAGCACCGGCUAACUCCGUGCCAGCAGCCGCGGUAAUUC